GAUCAUUCGCCAUGAAAGCCCAAACUUCAAAACCCAAUCCACCCGAAUAAAAACCAUUGUCGGGAGACUCUUUCCAAUUUUCAUAGUCCCAUCGACCACGGGUUGCUCGAAUAUGUAGCUCUGAAACCUGACAUUCGUCCAUUACUCGGGCUAUAGAUAAAGGAAACAAAGAGAAGCUUGAUUCGGAGAAUACUGAAGAAUGUGUACUGUCAGUUGAUGCACCGAUUUCAAAUGCGAAUGAAACAUAUGAGUAGCGACUUGAAAAGCUCUUUAUGAAUAGAGAUUCAUCAUAAGUCUCGUCUAUAGUUGCUGCCGUUAAUGAAAAGGAAAGCAAGCUGUAAGCAAAUAAUAAUAAACAUCCGUUUUUUUUCAUAUCUAACAAAGAAACCUGACAAUUUAAAAGUAUUUGAGUAUAAUAAAUGAAAAUUAGAAAACUAAUGCGAUACGAUGUAUUGUGACCAAAUGAGAACCUAACAAUUGAUUUUCUUUCGAAUAGAAGGAUCUUUUAAGAGAAAUAGGAAACAGUUAAUGGACAAACUG